UACGGAAGGGGCAAGCGUUGUUCGGAAUCAUUGGGCGUAAAGGGCGCGUAGGUGGUUCUGUAUGUCUACCGUGAAAGCGUACGGCUCAACCGUAUUUUGUCGGUUAGAAACGUGCAGGACUUGAGGCUGGGAGGGGCUGGUGGAAUUCCCUGUGUAGCGGUGAAAUGCGCAGAUAUCAGGAGGAACACCAAUUGCGAAGGCAGCUCGCUGGGACGUUACUGACGCUGAGACGCGAAAGCGUGGGGAGCAAACAGG
rnacentral:rRNA from 1 species